ensembl:miRNA tgu-mir-2965 tgu-mir-2965
CUGUGCUGCCUGUUGCUCUGGGGCUCCAGCUGCAGGACUGCCUCAGAGAGCAGGCUGGUGAACAG